GAGAGUUUGAUCCUGGCUCAGAUUGAACGCUGGCGGUAGGCUUAACACAUGCAAGUCGAGCGGUAACAGAGAAUAGCUUGCUAUUCUGCUGACGAGCGGCGGACGGGUGAGUAACGCGUAGGAAACUGCCUAGUAGUGGGGGAUAGCCCAGAGAAAUUUGGAUUAAUACCGCAUACGCCCUACGGCUACGGGGGAAAAGGGGCUUCGGCUCUUGCUAUUAGAUGUGCCUGCGUAAGAUUAGCUAGUUGGUGAGGUAAUGGCUCACCAAGGCGACGAUCUUUAGCUGGUCUGAGAGGAUGAUCAGCCACACUGGAACUGAGACACGGUCCAGACUCCUACGGGAGGCAGCAGUGGGGAAUAUUGCACAAUGGGCGAAAGCCUGAUGCAGGCAUGCCUCGGGUGUGAAGAAGGCUCUAGGGUUGUAAAGCACUUUAAGCAGGGAGGAAGGCCAGUUAGUUAAUAUCUGACUGGAUUGACGUUACCUGCAGAAUAAGCACCGGCUAACUCCGUGCCAGCAGCCGCGGUAAUACGGAGGGUGCAAGCGUUAAUCGGAAUUACUGGGCGUAAAGCGCGCGUAGGCGGUUUGCUAAGCCAGAUGUGAAAGCCCCGGGCUCAACCUGGGAACUGCAUUUGGAACUGGCAGGCUAGAGUACGGUAGAGGGUGGUAGAAUUUCCUGUGUAGCGGUGAAAUGCGUAGAUAUAGGAAGGAAUACCAGUGGCGAGGCGGCCACCUGGACUGAUACUGACGCUGAGGUGCGAAAGCGUGGGGAGCGAACAGGAUUAGAUACCCUGGUAGUCCACGCCGUAAACGAUGUCAACUAGCCGUAGGGAUCCUUGAGGUCUUUGUGGCGCAGCUAACGCAAUAAGUUGACCGCCUGGGGAGUACGGCCGCAAGGUUAAAACUCAAAUGAAUUGACGGGGGCCCGCACAAGCGGUGGAGCAUGUGGUUUAAUUCGAUGCAACGCGAAGAACCUUACCUACUCUUGACAUCCUCAGAAGAGCCCAGAGAUGGGCUUGUGCCUUCGGGAACUGAGAGACAGGUGCUGCAUGGCUGUCGUCAGCUCGUGUUGUGAAAUGUUGGGUUAAGUCCCGCAACGAGCGCAACCCUUGUCCUUGUUUGCCAGCACGUAAUGGUGGGAACUCCAGGGAGACUGCCGGUGAUAAACCGGAGGAAGGCGGGGACGACGUCAAGUCAUCAUGGCCCUUACGACCAGGGCUACACACGUGCUACACUGGGUCGUACAGAGGGUUGCUAAGCAGCGAUGGUGAGCGAAUCCCACAAAGUACGUCGUAGUCCGGAUUGGAGUCCGCAACUCGACUCCAUGAAGUCGGAAUCGCUAGUAAUCGUGAAUCAGAAUGUCACGGUGAAUACGUUCCCGGGCCUUGUACCCACCGCCCGUCACACCAUGGGAGUGGGCUGCAAAAGAAGUGGGUAGUUUAACCUUCGGGAGCACGCUCACCACUUUGUGGUUCAUGACUGGGGUGAAGUCGUAACAAGGUAGCCGUAG
rnacentral:rRNA from 1 species